GGCCCGUCUACACGUCUGUCUGGUGGGACGCCUCCCCUGGCCCGUCUACACGUCUGUCUGGUGGGACGCCUCCCCUGGCCCGUCUACACGUCUGUCUGGUGGGACGCCUCCCCUGGCCCGUCUACACGUCUGUCUGGUGGGACGCCUCCCCUGGCCCGUCUACACGUCUGUCUGGUGGGACGCCUCCCCUGGCCCGUCUACACGUCUGUCUGGUGGGACGCCUCCCCUGGCCCGUCUACACCUCUGUCUGGUGAGACGCCUUCCCUGUCCAACACACGACUCAGGGCUACGAACAGCAGCAGGUUAAACCAGACAAUGAAAGCAAGCUCUCUAUGUCCACAUCACAUCGCUUAAAAAAAGAAUCAGACUGUGGCUGUUUAGAAGAAAUCAAGGAGAACUGAAAACAAGCCCCCGACUUCCCCUGGAUCUGGCUGCUGGUCUUGUUUCUCUGGCUGCUGUUCAGCAGUAUGACUGCAAUUCACUUGCCUCUGGUGGUUUCGGCGUUAACCCUGCUUGGACUUGGCAGGACUUCUUCAACCUGUGACUCUGUGUCCUGUAACAAUGGUGUAAAACUCCCAAAUGUCACAUCUCCGUCCUGCCCCCGCUCCGUCCUCUCUCCUCUCCACCUGGGCCUGUUUCAGGGACACAACUUCCCACUCCAUGUCUGCCGGGCUCUUUCCUGUGUUUUCCACCCGUUUUCUCUCCACUCUGCAUUCUGGGGACUUUCUUUCACCUGUCUUCCUGGUCACUAAUUCUCUUUUAUACCAACUCUCAUUUGCUGUUUCCCUGUCUUUUGAGGCCUGAAUUUUAGUUACUAUAUUUCUCAGGCCUAAAAUUUCCAUUUGAUUAUUUUAGUAGAUUCAAAUUACCUGGCGAAAUGCUCCAAUUUUUCCUUUUUCCCCUUAUUUUAGGCUCCUUAUCUGAUAACAUCGGCCUCUCCCACUGUGGCUCUACUGCUCUUUUUUUCUCGUGGUUUUCGGUGCUGUGGUCCUGUCUCGUGGCAUGCCCGGUAAACUGUUGCUGAACGCAUAGGAAAGACUGCAGAGGUCUAGGAUGGCGACAUUUUCCUCUAGAGGGCUCACCCUUUGCUCCGCCAGGCAGACCGAGUAGAGGGGGAUCCCCUGGACCGUGCAGGGACUGAGCUGACUCCAGGGUGGCCACACAUUUGGGACAGUGUCAUCUGCUUCUGGGCUGCCCUGCUCUGCUGGGCUCGAGGGUCAGGCCGAUCCUCAUCUCAUCAGCACCUCAAGAUGGCCAAGAGGCUCCUAUGUUAUUCGGAGGCUCUCUGUGUGGCUUCUCAUCUUCCACCCACAGCUUCAGAAUUGGGCAAAGGUUCUAAGGGAAGCCAUGCAGUGUUGAGUUCUGUUCUCUGACCUCUGAGUCCACCGGCCCCAGCUCCAACCUCUGAACCCCCUGGCCCCAGGUCCAACAUCUGAGCUUACUGGUCCCCAGGCUCUGACCUCUGAACCCACUGGCCCCUGCUUCGACCUCUGAGCCCACCGGUCCCCAGGAUCCAACCUCUGAACCCGCCGGCCCCUGCUCCAACCUCUGAGCCCACCGGUCCCCCAGGCUCCAACCUCUGCACCUGCCAGCCCCAGCUCCAACACCUGAGCCCACUGGUCCCCAGGCUCCGACCUCUGAACCUGCCGGCCCCUGCUCCAACACCUGAGCCCACCGGUCCCCAGGCUCCGACCUCUGAACCUGCCAGCCCCGGCUCUAAUGUCUGUGCUCACUGGUCCCCAGGCUCCGACCUCUGAACGUGCCAGCCCCGGUUCUAAUGUCUGUGCUCACUGGGCUCCAGGCUCCGACCUCUGAACCUGCCGGCCCUGGCUGUAAUGUCUGUGCCCACUGGUCCCCAGGCUCUGACCUCUGAACCCGCUGGCCCCUGCUCCGACCACUGAGCGCGCUGGUCCCCAGGCUCCGACCUCUGAACCUGCCGGCCCCGGCUCUAAUGUCUGCGCUCACUGGGCUCCAGGCUGAGACCUCUGAACCUGCCGGCCCCGGCUCUAAUGUCUGUGCUCACUGGGCUCCAGGCUCUGACCUCUGAACCCGCUGGCCCCUGCUCCGACCACUGAGCGCACUGGUCCCCAGGCUCCGACCUCUGAACCUGCCGGCCCCGGCCCUAAUGUCUGUGCUCACUGGGCUCCAGGCUGCGACCUCUGAACCUGCCGCCCCGGCUCUAAUGUCUGCGCUCACUGGGCUCCAGGCUGAGACCUCUGAACCUGCCGGCCCCGGCUCUAAUGUCUGCGCUCACUGGGCUCCAGGCUGAGACCUCUGAACCUGCCGGCCCCGGCUCUAAUGUCUGUGCUCACUGGGCUCCAGGCUCUGCUUUUGGUUUCUCAACCUGUGAGGCUGGUUUUUCUGCCUCUCUGGGCUCCACCAGGU
rnacentral:lncRNA from 10 species